AGAGUUUGAUCCUGGCUCAGAGUGAACGCUGGCGGCGUGCUUAACACAUGCAAGUCGAACGAGAACGGGUCUUAGCUUGCUAAGAUUGUCAGCUAAGUGGCGCACGGGUGAGUAAUAUAUAGGUAACGUGCCUUCAAGAAGGGGAUAACAAUUGGAAACGAUUGCUAAUACCCUAUAUGCCUUUAAGACAUAAGUGUGCAAGGGAAAUAUUUAUAGCUUUAAGAUCGGCCUGUACGGUAUCAGUUAGUUGGUGAGGUAAUGGCUCACCAAGACAAUGACGCUUAACUGGUUUGAGAGGAUGAUCAGUCACACUGGAACUGAGACACGGUCCAGACUCCUACGGGAGGCAGCAGUGGGGAAUAUUGCNCAAUGGACGAAAGUCUGAUGCAGCAACGCCGCGUGGAGGAUGACACAUUUCGGUGCGUANACUCCUUUUAUAUAGGAAGAUAAUGACGGUACUAUAUGAAUAAGCNCCGGCUAACUCUG
rnacentral:rRNA from 1 species